rnacentral:rRNA from 1 species
AACGAACGCUGGCGGCGCGUCUUAAACAUGCAAGUCGAACGGCAAGAGAAAAGCUUGCUUUUCUCCUAGAGUGGCGGACUGGUGAGUAACACGUGGGUGACAUACCUUUUAGUUGGGGAUAGCUGUUAGAAAUAGCAGGUAAUACCGAAUGUGACCGCAUCUGUUAGAGAGGUGCGAGGAAAGGAGCUAAGGCUCCGCUAGAAGAAUGCUCGCGGCCCAUUAGCUAGUUGGUGAGGUAACGGCCCACCAAGGCAAUGAUGGGUAUCCGGCCUGAGAGGGUGAACGGACACAUUGGGACUGAGAUACGGCCCAGACUUCUACGGGAGGCAGCAGUUAAGAAUAUUCCGCAAUGGACGAAAGUCUGACGGAGCGACGCCGCGUGGAUGAAGAAUGCCGAAAGGUUGUAAAAUCCUUUUAAGCCUGAGGAAUAAGCGGAGGAGGGAAUGCCUCUGCGGUGACUGUAGGGCUUGAAUAAGCAACGGCUAAUUACGUGC